CACACAGCACCCCUCAUACACACAGCACCCCUCACACACACACACACACCACCCCUCAUAUACUCACACAAACAGCACCCCUCACACACAAACACACAUACACUACACCCCUCAAUGCAGUAUGUGUGUAUAUUCAGCAGUCUGUGUGUGUGCGUGUAUUCAGCAGUCUGUGUGUGUGCGUGUAUUCAGCGGACUGUGUGUGUGUGUAUUCAGCGGACUGUGUGUGUACUCAGCAGUUUGUCUGUAUGUGUAUGUGUGUAUUCAUCAGUCUCUGUAUUCAGCAGUCUGUGUGUGUGUAUGUAUUGCAUUUGUUGGAGAUACUAAUAAAUAUAAGCUUAAUUUUAUCUAUUUAUAUCAUUAUUUAAAAUUUGUAUCAUUGAACUCUCUGUUGUGUUGUUAAUUAGUUCCGACAACAGUACGAGUUGUUUUUUCUAAACUUAAACCUCAGUAUUAAGGUUUAAUUGCCAUGUUGGCACUUUAAGGGAAAAAAAGUUGGCAUGUAUUGCGGUUUGGGCAUGCGGGCUCAAAAAGGUUCGCCAUCAAUGGUAUAGAGAGAUGUGUCCCAAAGUUGCCAAAAUGCCCUUGGCUUAAGCCCCACAAGUACUUAGGAAAGAACAUGUGCAGUUCUCUUAAUAAUCAACACAGCGUAUCUGUUAUUACUUUUUAACAAUUAGUAGAUAUACCACGCAAUCUUAG